GGUUAGCGCGAGGAGGCAGACAUGGGACUUACGCAAUCCUUGAAUGUCCUGUUGGUCAGUGCAGCGUUCGCAUUCGUCGUAUCCAUGCUCUUCAUUUGAGCCGAUGCGAGGCGUCAAAAACUGAGAUACCUACACUCCUGAAUGAUAAAUAACCCCGAACACUGAAAAGCGCAUGCCCCGCCCGGCCAUGCGCUUU
rnacentral:sRNA from 1 species